CAGCCGCGGUAAGACAGAGGAGGCUAGCGUUGUUCGGAAUCACUGGGCUUAAAGCGGGUGUAGGCGGCCCUGCAAGUACUUUGUGAAAUACUCCGGCUCACCCGGAGAACUGCUGAGUAUACUGCAGGGCUUGAGGCAGGUAGGGGUCACUGGAACUCUAGGUGGAGCGGUGAAAUGCGUAGAUAUCUAGAGGAACGCCUAAGGCGAAAGCAGGUGACUGGGCCUGUCCUGACGCUGAGAUCCGAAAGCGUGGGGAGCAAACGGGAUUAGAUACCCCGGUAGUCCACGCCCUAAACGAUGCGCACUAGACUCGAGUGUCUCUGACGACUCUCGGGUCGAAGUCAAAAUGUUAAGUGCGCCGCCUGGGGAGUACGGCCGCAAGGCUAAAACUCAAAGGAAUUGACGGGGGCUCACACAAGCGGUGGAGCAUGUGGCUCAAUUCGAAGCAACGCGAAGAACCUUACCCGGGUUUGACAUGCUAGGAUUAGUUCCAUGAAAGUGGAAUGACGCGGCUUGCCGUGGAACUAGCACAGGUGCUGCAUGGCUGUCGUCAGCUCGUGUCGUGAGAUGUCGGGUUAAGUCCCAUAACGAGCGAAACCCUUGUCGUUAGUUGCCAGCGGGUCAUGCCGGGAACUCUAACGAGACUGCCGGUGUUAAACCGGAGGAAGGCGAGGACGACGUCAAGUCAUCAUGGCCUUUAUGCCCGGGGUUGCACACGUGCUACAAUGGGUUGUUACAGAGCGAUCCGAAACCGCGAGGUUGAGGAAAUCGCAGAAAACUGCCCUCAGUUCAGAUUGCAGCUGCAACCCGCCUGCAUGAAGUUGGAAUCGCUAGUAAUCGCGUAUCAGCAACGACGCGGUGAAUGUGUUCCUGAGCUUGU
rnacentral:rRNA from 1 species